GGUUUAGAACGUCGUGAGACAGUUCGGUCCCUAUCUGCCAUGGGCGUAGGAAGUUUGAGAAGAUCUGUCCUUAGUACGAGAGGACCGGGAUGGACGUAUCACUGGUGUUCCGGUUGUCGCGCCAGCGGCACCGCCGGGUAGCCACAUGCGGAAAGGAUAACCGCUGAAAGCAUCUAAGCGGGAAACCCACUUCAAGAUUAGACUUCCCUGACAUUAGUCCUUAAGCCCCCUCGAAGACGACGAGGUUGAUAGGCUGGAUGUGGAGGCGUGGUAACACGUGAAGCUAACCAGUACUAAUGGGGCGUGAGGCUUU
rnacentral:rRNA from 14 species